rnacentral:misc_RNA from 1 species
GAUGAAGAACGCAGCGAAAUGCGAUAAGUAAUGUGAAUUGCAGAAUUCAGUGAAUCAUCGAAUCUUUGAACGCACAUUGCGCCCGCCAGUAUUCUGGCGGGCAUGCCUGUUCGAGCGUCAUUACAACCCUCAGGCCCCUGGGCCUGGCGUUGGGGAUCGGCAGAAGCCCCCUGUGGGCACACGCCGUCCCUCAAAUACAGUGGCGGUCCCGCCGCAGCUUCCAUUGCGUAGUAGCUAACACCUCGCAACUGGAGAGCGGCGCGGCCAUGCCGUAAAACACCCAACUUCUGAAUGUUGACCUCGAAUCAGGUAGGAAUACCCGCUGAACUUAAGCAUAUCAAUAAGCGGAGGA